rnacentral:rRNA from 1 species
GACGAACGCUGGCGGCGUGCCUAAUACAUGCAAGUAGAACGCUGAAGGAGGAGCUUGCUUCUCUGGAUGAGUUGCGAACGGGUGAGUAACGCGUAGGUAACCUGCCUGGUAGCGGGGGAUAACUAUUGGAAACGAUAGCUAAUACCGCAUAAGAGUAGAUGUUGCAUGACAUUUGCUUAAAAGGUGCAAUUGCAUCACUACCAGAUGGACCUGCGUUGUAUUAGCUAGUUGGUGGGGUAACGGCUCACCAAGGCGACGAUACAUAGCCGACCUGAGAGGGGGAUCGGCCACACUGGGACUGAGACACGGCCCAGACUCCUACGGGAGGCAGCAGUAGGGAAUCUUCGGCAAUGGACGGAAGUCUGACCGAGCAACGCCGCGUGAGUGAAGAAGGGUUUCGGAUCGUAAAGCUCUGUUGUAAGAGAAGAACGAGUGUGAGAGUGGAAAGUUCACACUGUGACGGUAGCUUACCAGAAAGGGACGGCUAACUACGUG